GAUGAAGAACGCAGCGAAAUGCGAUAAGUAAUGCGAAUUGCAGAAUUUCCGUGAGUCAUCGAAUCUUUGAACGCACAUUGCGCCCGCCAGUAUUCUGGCGGGCAUGCCUGUCUGAGCGUCAUUUCAACCCUCAGCCCCCGUUCGCGGGGCGCUGGCGUUGGGGAUCGGCCGUCCUUGCGGCGGCCGGCCCCGAAACACAGUGGCGGUCUCCCGUAGACUCCCCUGCGUAGUAACACUACCUCGCAGAAGGGACGAGCGGGCUGGCCACGCCGUAAAACCCCCCACUUCUCAAGGUUGACCUCAGAUCAGGUAGGAAUACCCGCUGAACUUAAGCAUAUCAAUAAGCGGAGGA
rnacentral:misc_RNA from 1 species